UACGUAGGGUGCAAGCGUUGUCCGGAAUUAUUGGGCGUAAAGAGCUCGUAGGCGGUCUGUCACGUCGGCUGUGAAAUCCCGAGGCUCAACCUCGGGUCUGCAGUCGAUACGGGCAAACUAGAGUAUUGCAGGGGAGACUGGAAUUCUUGGUGUAGCGGUGAAAUGCGUAGAUAUCAAGAGGAACACCUGAGGCGAAGGCGGGUUGCUAGGCUGACACUGACGCUGAGGCGCGAAAGCCAGGGGAGCAAACGGG
rnacentral:rRNA from 1 species